AAGGAAGAAAAUAAAAGAUGAAGAUACGAAACCUAAAAAAAAAAAAAACUUUCCCCAGGCAACCUUACCACACAAACACUCUGCUGCAGUCUUUUCCUCAUUGUCCUGUAAUAAACUUUAACAUGCGGACUUUGAAAUAUACCAGGUUUUUGUUGUUGUUGUUCCUAAAAAUCUUCCUUAGUAUUUUUUUAAGUUAUUUUCCAGACUUUAUAAUUUCUUAUUCAGCAGUUUCUACAACAUUCUGGAGACUUGAGAAGAACAUUUACCCUGUUGCGUUUAAUGAUCUGCAUGUUUAACAAACCAUAACAAAAUGCUGAAGCUGGUUGUCUAUUCUCAGAACGGGAGUUUCCUGGACUAAAUACAGAUUAUGUGAGGGAAAGUUUGUGUUUGGUUAACCUUUUGAUUAUGAAAACUAAAGAAAACAAACUUUUCACUGUGUUCAGAUAUUAAAUUUCAUAUCUCCAUAUUUUUAUGAAAUACUUUGGGGCCAACAUUGUAAAUAUCCAGGGUUGACUUCCUUGUAAAUAACUCCAAAAAAAAAAAAAAAAGAUCAGUGAGUUGGAC